rnacentral:lncRNA from 1 species
CAGCAUUAGGAUUGAAAGAGGAAGAAGAUUCAGAAUCUCCUUGGGAUUCAGAGUGUGCCACUGAAAGUCUCCCCAAAGGAUCUGCCAGGCAUAAACCUGCAGCCACAAAUCAAACAAUAAAAGAGAGUAUUUCAAUGGGACAAAAUGAAGAUACUUCUGGUUGGGAUUCUCCCAGUACUUCUCCAAAAAAUGAGAGUUACAGAAGGUGCAAGGAUUUGAAUUUUAAUGAGAAUUAUCUUUGCCAGUCCCUGCCACUGACCAAAAAUCAGUCAGGAUCCACAGAAUUUGGAAAGAUUCCUUUAAAAGAAGAUGAAGCAGCUGGAGCUGGAAGUGGCCCUGAGACUGGG